rnacentral:rRNA from 1 species
UACGGGGGGGCAAGCGUUGUUCGGAAUACUGGGCGUAAAGGCUCGUAGGCGGCCAACUAAGUCAGACGUGAAAUCCCCAGCUUAACCUGGGAACUGCGUCUGAUACUGGAUGGCUUGAAUCGGGAGAGGGAUGCAGAAUUCCAGGUGUAGCGGUGAAAUGCGUAGAUAUCUGGAGGAAUACCGGUGGCGAAGGCGGCAUCCUGGACCGAGAUUGACGCUGAUGAGCGAAAGCUAGGGAGCAACGGG